CUGAAACAAUCCUGAGGCCCCCGGGACCUCAACCAAAGACAAUAAGUCUAAUACCGGUGUCCAAACUCAUACAAUUCCAUAAAACACCUAAAACAAUAUCAAAACGACGAAUCAAUCACGGAUUCAACCCUAAAAAUUCCAAAUCUCCAAAAAUACGCUUUCGAUCAAAAAGUCUAUCAAUCCUCGUCCAAAUAACCUGAAAUUUUG
rnacentral:lncRNA from 1 species